rnacentral:rRNA from 1 species
UACGAAGGGUGCAAGCGUUACUCGGAAUUACUGGGCGUAAAGCGCGCGUAGGCGGCUUUGUAAGUUAGAGGUGAAAGCCCGGAGCUUAACUCCGGAACUGCCUUUAAGACUGCAUCGCUAGAAUCGUGGAGAGGUGAGUGGAAUUCCGAGUGUAGAGGUGAAAUUCGUAGAUAUUCGGAAGAACACCCGUGGCGAAAGCGGCUCUCUGGAACGGUACUGACGCUGAGACGCGAAAGCGUGGGGAGCGAACAGG